GUGAGAUCUCUAUAAUGGAGGCAGACUUCAGGCCCUCAAGUCAGACGGGGCUCCGAAGAUUUCUUCUGUAGUGGACCAAGAAGUCAUGUCCUGAAGCUCUGUGAGCCGGGCAACCAUCACGACGCGAAUGCAACCCAAGGCCAGCGAUAAGCUCAACCCACUGCAGGAGUCUGCAAAUGAAUAAAAAUCAGACGUGGUGGGAGAAUCCUGUAAGGGUGGCACUCAAGAGAUGGAGGCUGCCAGGCCUUUAGGUGGAUCUCUGUGAGUUCGAAGUCAGCCUGGUCUACAGAGCGAGUUCCAGGACAGCCAGGGCUACACAGAGGAACCCUGUCUCAAAAAACAAACAAACAAACAAACAAACAAACAAACUCAGCCAACCAACCAACCAAAACAAAACAAAACACAAACACAAAAGAGAUGGAGGGAAGAGGAUUAGAAGUUUAUACGCUUAGCUGUAUAGCACGACCUUGUUUUUUUUCUCUCUCUCUCUCUCUCUCUCUCUAGCUCAUGCUGGGUUAGUACUCUGUAGCCCAAGGUGGCCUUGAACAUGUGACCAUCUUCCUCUUUUACCUUCCUGAGAGAUGGGACCCAUGAACCUUCAUGGCUGACUUCCUCUCUCUCUCUCUCUCUCUCU
rnacentral:lncRNA from 1 species